ACUUUAUGUAUUAUAUUUAUCCCACUGUUCCUCCAUGGAGCUCAGAGCUGCAUAGAUCCUGCUAUUCUACUUUCAGCAAGAAAUGGGAAUUAUAACAUUUCCUACUUAGCUUACGAAAAAAUCCAGGAAAGAGCAAGCAGAUAGAGCAUCUGUCCCAUCAGGUGCUGCAGAAAAGAUACAGCUGGUGAAAACAGAAGAGCCUGAGCUGGUUCAGAUGACAAAGAGCAGUGAGAAUGAACCUUCUGCUGGAAUAGCAACUGAUCUUGGAUUUGAACAAAAGAAACUCAGGGAACGUUCUGCUGUCAUACUGGCUACAAAGGAAAAGAUUGAACGGACCUAUCAGCAAGUCCUCCUGAACUUUGCAGCUGUGACCACCAUGUUACUGGAAACAGAUUCCAGCAUGGAGGCAUCCAUAGAGUCAGCAUUGCGAGCCAACCUGCGAAAGAUUGGAAAUUACUAUGAAUGCAUGCUGAAGAACUUUAUUGACAGUUAUGACUUAGCCAACGCCAGCUGAGAGAACAUAUAAUGGGAAAUCCAUCUAUUGCAAGAUGGAAUCAAUGGAAUGGGAAGCUAUGUGGGUUUUGGACUUGGCAAUAAAGGAGAGUCAUUGGGGGAAAGCUGUCA
rnacentral:lncRNA from 1 species